rnacentral:rRNA from 1 species
AGAUUAAACAUAAGAGUUUGAUCCUGGCUCAGAUUGAACGCUGGCGGCAUGCUUUACACAUGCAAGUCGAACGGCAGCACGGAGAGCUUGCUCUCUGGUGGCGAGUGGCGAACGGGUGAGUAAUGCAUCGGAACGUACCGAGUAAUGGGGGAUAACUGUCCGAAAGGAUGGCUAAUACCGCAUACGCCCUGAGGGGGAAAGCGGGGGAUCUUAGGACCUCGCGUUAUUUGAGCGGCCGAUGUUGGAUUAGCUAGUUGGUGGGGUAAAGGCCUACCAAGGCGACGAUCCAUAGCGGGUCUGAGAGGAUGAUCCGCCACAUUGGGACUGAGACACGGCCCAAACUCCUACGGGAGGCAGCAGUGGGGAAUUUUGGACAAUGGGG